rnacentral:rRNA from 1 species
AGCGAACGCUGGCGGCAGGCUUAACACAUGCAAGUCGAGCGGGCGUAGCAAUACGUCAGCGGCAGACGGGUGAGUAACGCGUGGGAACGUACCUUUUGGUUCGGAACAACCCAGGGAAACUUGGGCUAAUACCGGAUAAGCCCUUACGGGGAAAGAUUUAUCGCCGAAAGAUCGGCCCGCGUCUGAUUAGCUAGUUGGUGAGGUAACGGCUCACCAAGGCGACGAUCAGUAGCUGGUCUGAGAGGAUGAUCAGCCACAUUGGGACUGAGACACGGCCCAAACUCCUACGGGAGGCAGCAGUGGGGAAUAUUGGACAAUGGGCGCAAGCCUGAUCCAGCCAUGCCGCGUGAGUGAUGAAGGCCCUAGGGUUGUAAGCUCUUUGUGCGGGAAGAUAAUGACGGUACCGCAAGAAUAAGCCCCGCUAACUUCGUGCCAGCCGCCGCAGUAAU